CGCGUGGACAAUGGCACGCACACAGAGAUCACAAAAUAUACACGGCAUACAUUACCAACAGAGCACAAAGUCACACAGAAGAGACAGCUCCUAAGUACACCGCUGCCCUGCCCUCACACCUUUAAAGCUCCCGCUAGCACGCUCCAGCCCACAGACACCAGCACCAGGAAGAAGUCAUCAACAAGGCCCUCCCACCUCCCAGGCCUGCUGGGCUUUACCGAGCCAGGGAGACACCCAGCUGUGUGCACACCGGUUUGUGCCUGCACAGCCGCCAGAUUCCAGCGAGCAUUUCUUGCUCAGUCCCACCAGGAUAGUACUCUGCACGAGCCAAGACUGCCCCCCUCAGAACUUAGCAUGCCGGUGGGCCUCAUGCCACUGGCCUGGCAGAACCUGAGUCAGGCCACAUUCUUCUCUGCAAGCUGGAAGGAAACACACAGAAUCUGGGAAAGGCAGCCAAAGGGCAGACUCCAUCACAUCCACGGGACAGCUAAUGACGACUACAGUGCUGUGGGAAGGCAGCAAACAAAACAGAGCCAAACACAGUCUUCUUGGGGCAUGAGCAGCCAAUGGGACGGGACCUGUGAGAUCCUCGAGAACCUGCACUGUUUACUGCCCAUGUUACCCGAACAGCUAGUAACUCUUCUCCACAUGGUACCCAAGUCUGGUACCCAGGAGUGAACCUCCUGAGCGGCACAUCAUGCCAAAACUAGCAGCCUCCCUCAUGAUCGGCCAGGCUGCCUGGCUUUCAACUCAGCUCUCAUAGAGUCAUUUUAGCUUCUCAUUUUCUUAAUUUCUAUCUCUGUAAAAAUAAAAUAAAAAUUCUAACAAGUUAGCUAUGGUGA
rnacentral:lncRNA from 1 species